GACUAACGCUGGCGGUAUGCAUCAUACAUGCAAGUUGAGCGAUCGGCUUUCGGUGCUUGCACUGGAAGUACGGAGCAGCGAACGGGUGAGUAACGCGUAGGUAACCUGCCCCUUGGUAUGGGAUAGCCGGCCGAAAGGUCGAUUAAUACCAAAUACGACAGGACGGCGGCAUCGUCGACCUGGGAAAGACGCUUCGGCGUCGCUGAGGGAGGGGCUUGCGUCCAAUUAGCUUGUUGGUGGGGUAAAGGCCUACCAAGGCGAUGAUUGGUAGCCGGCUUGAGAGAGUGAACGGCCACACUGGAACUGAGACACGGUCCAG
rnacentral:rRNA from 1 species